AUUGAACGCUGGCGGCAGGCCUAACACAUGCAAGUCGAGCGAGCGGCGGACGGGUGAGUAAUGUCUGGGAAACUGCCUGAUGGAGGGGGAUAACUACUGGAAACGGUAGCUACUACCGCAUACCAUCUGAUGUGCCCAGAUGGGAGUAGCUGGUAGGUGGGGUAACGGCUCACCUAGGCGACGAUCCCUAGCUGGUCUGAGAGGAUGACCAGCCACACUGGAACUAGGACAAGGUCCAGACGCCUACGGGAGGCAGCAGUGGUGAAUAUUGCAAAAUGGGCGCAAGCCUGAUGCAGCCAUGCCGCGUGUGUGAAGAAGGCCUUCGGGUUGUAAAGCACUUUCAGCGGGGAGGCGUUACCCGCAGAAGAAGCACCGGCUAACUCCGGGCCAGCCGCCGCGGUAAUAC
rnacentral:rRNA from 1 species